rnacentral:misc_RNA from 1 species
GUAUUUCAUUGCGUUAAACGCGACAUACAUUCCAUGAGACUUUGUUGUAGUGUGUGUGUAAAGAUGCAGAACCACGGAAGGGAGGCAGGGCCCCCCAGACCAUAGAACUACAGAGGGUGCACAGGUGUGAGUGGAUGUGUAAACAGAGCGUGCACGUGACCCCUUCCGAGGACCAGCAACAACUCGUGUCGACGACUCAGUAAUGAUCCUUCCGCAGGUUCACCUACGGAAA